GACGAACGCUGGCGGCGUGCUUAACACAUGCAAGUCGAACGCUGAAGCACCAGCUUGCUGGUGUGGAUGAGUGGCGAACGGGUGAGUAAUACGUGAGUAACCUGCCCUUGACUCUGGGAUAAGCCCGGGAAACUGGGUCUAAUACUGGAUGCUACAUGUCACCGCAUGGUGGUGUGUGGAAAGGGUUUACUGGUCUUGGAUGGGCUCACGGCCUAUCAGCUUGUUGGGGGGGUAAUGGCUCACCAAGGCGACGACGGGUAGCCGGCCUGAGAGGGGGACCGGCAAACCUGGGACUGAGACACGGACCAGACUCCUACGGGAGGCAGCAGUGGGGAAUAUUGCAUAAUGGGCGAAAGCCUGAUGCAGCGACGCCGCGUGAGGGAUGACGGCCUUCGGGUUGUAAACCUCUUUCAGCAGGGAAGAAGCCACAAGUGACGGUACCUGCAGAAGAAGCGCCGGCUAACUACGUGCCAGCCGCCGCGGUAA
rnacentral:rRNA from 1 species